rnacentral:rRNA from 1 species
GAUGAACGCUAGCGGCAGGCCUAACACAUGCAAGUCGAGGGGUAACAGAGAGUGCUUGCACCUUGCUGACGACCGGCGCACGGGUGCGUAACGCGUAUGCAACCUACCUUCUACAGGGGGAUAGCCCAGAGAAAUUUGGAAUAAUACCCCAUACGAUCUUUACUUGGCAUCGAGUAAAGAAGAAAACUUUUGUGGUAGAAGAUGGGCAUGCGUCCUAUUAGUUAGUUGGUGAGGUAACGGCUCACCAAGACAUCGAUAGGUAGGGGUCCUGAGAGGGAGAUCCCCCACACUGGUACUGAGACACGGACCAGACUUCUACGGAAGGCAGCAGUAAGGAAUAUUGGACAAUGGAGGCAACUCUGAUCCAGCCAUGCCGCGUGAAGGAAGACGGCCUUAUGGGUUGUAAACUUCUUUUAUACAGGAAGAAACCUUUCCACGUGUGGAAAGCUGACGGUACUGUAAGAAUAAGGAUCGGCUAACUCCGUGCCAGCAGG